rnacentral:rRNA from 1 species
GACGAACGCUGGCGGCGUGCUUAACACAUGCAAGUCGAGCGGUAAGGCCCUUUCGGGGGUACACGAGCGGCGAACGGGUGAGUAACACGUGGGUGACCUGCCCUCAGCUCUGGGAUAAGCCUGGGAAACUGGGUCUAAUACCGGAUAUGACUCCAUGACGCAUGUUGUGGGGUGGAAAGCCUUGUGCGGCUGAGGAUGGGCCCGCGGCCUAUCAGCUUGUUGGUGGGGUGANGGCCUACCAAGGCGACGACGGGUAGCCGGCCUGAGAGGGCGACCGGCCACACUGGGACUGAGACACGGCCCAGACUCCUACGGGAGGCAGCAGUGGGGAAUCUUGCGCAAUGGGCGAAAAGCCUGACGCAGCGAACGCCGCGUGAGGGAUGACGGCCU